GGGAGAAUCGGAGAAAUUCGAUGCCGAAGGAGCAACCGCCCCGGAAACUCUCAGGCCCACGGACCGUGGCGG
rnacentral:ncRNA from 1 species